UGACCUCGAAUCAGGUAGGAAUACCGCUGAACUUAAGCAUUCAAUAAGCGGAGGAAAAGAAACCAACAGGGAUGCCCCAGUAACGGCGAGUGAACGGCCACAGCUCAAAUUUGAAAUCUGGCUCUCGGGCCCGAGUUGUAAUUUGUAGAGGAUGCUUUGGUGAGGUGCCUCCGAGUUCCCUGGAACGGGACGCCAUAGAGGGUGAGAGCCCCGUCUGGUUGGACACCGAUCCUCUGUAAAGCUCCUUCGACGAGUCGAGUAGUUUGGGAAUGCUGCUCUAAAUGGGAGGUAUAUGUCUUCUAAAGCUAAAUACCGGCCAGAGACCGAUAGCGCACAAGUAGAGUGAUCGAAAGAUGAAAAGAACUUUGAAAAGAGAGUUAAAAAGUACGUGAAAUUGUUGAAAGGGAAGCGCUUGUGACCAGACUUGGGCUUGGUUGAUCAUCCGGGGUUCUCCCCGGUGCACUCUUCCGGCUCAGGCCAGCAUCAGUUCGCCCUGGGGGAUAAAGGCUUCGGGAAUGUGGCUCUCUCCGGGGAGUGUUAUAGCCCGCUGCGUAAUACCCUGUGGCGGACUGAGGUUCGCGCAUUCGCAAGGAUGCUGGUGUAAU
rnacentral:rRNA from 1 species